GCCUUCGUGGUGUAGCGGUCAGCACGCUGGCCGAGUAACCGAGAGGUCCGUGGUUCGAUUCCCGGCGAAGGAG
rnacentral:tRNA from 1 species